CAAGGGCGUAUAUUAAAGUUGUUGUAGUUAAAAAGCUCGUAGUUGGAUUUCUGGUGGGAGCGAUCGGUCUGGCGCUUAGCGCGAGUACUUGCAUCGUCUCCGGCCAUCCUUGGGGAGAGUCUGUCUGGCAUUAGGUUGUCGGGCAGAGGAUCCUCAUCGUUUACUGUGAAAAAAUUAGAGUGUUCAAAGCAGGCUUAUGCCGUUGAAUAUAUUAGCAUGGAAUAAUAAGAUAGGACUUUGGUACUAUUUUGUUGGUUUGCGCACCAAAGUAAUGAUUAAUAGGGACAGUUGGGGGUAUUCGUAUUCCGUUGUCAGAGGUGAAAUUCUUGGAUUUACGGAAGACGAACUACUGCGAAAGCAUUUACCAAGGAUGUUUUCAUUAA
rnacentral:rRNA from 1 species